rnacentral:rRNA from 1 species
AUUGAACGCUGGCGGCAGGCUUAACACAUGCAAGUCGAGCGAGCGGCGGACGGGUGAGUAAUGACUGGGAAACUGCCUGAUGGAGGGGGAUAACUACUGGAAACGGUAGCUAAUACCGCAUACCAUCAGAUGUGCCCAGAUGGGAUUAGCUAGUAGGUGGGGUGAUGGAUAACCUAGGCUACGAUCCCUAGCUGGUAUGAGAGGAUGACAAGCAAGACGGGAACUGAUACACGUACCAGACUCCUACGGUGGUCAGGAGUGGGUAAUAGUGCACAAUGGGAGAAAGCAGGAUGCAGCAAUGCCGCGUGUGUGAAGAAGUCCUUCGGGUUGUAAAGCACUUUCAGCGAGGAGGCGUUACUCGCAGAAGAAGCACCGGCUAACUCCGUGCCAGCAGCCGCGGUAAUAC